rnacentral:rRNA from 1 species
GUCGGGAAUAUUGCGCAAUGGAGGAAACUCUGACGCAGUGACGCCGCGUAUAGGAAGAAGGUUUUCGGAUUGUAAACUAUUGUCGUUAGGGAAGAUACAAGACAGUACCUAAGGAGGAAGCUCCGGCUAACUACGUGCCAGCAGCCGCGGUAAUACGUAGGGAGCAAGCGUUAUCCGGAUUUAUUGGGUGUAAAGGGUGCGUAGACGGGACAACAAGUUAGUUGUGAAAUCCCUCGGCUUAACUGAGGAACUGCAACUAAAACUAUUGUUCUUGAGUGUUGGAGAGGAAAGUGGAAUUCCUAGUGUAGCGGUGAAAUGCGUAGAUAUUAGGAGGAACACCGGUGGCGAAGGCGACUUUCUGGACAAUAACUGACGUUGAGGCACGAAAGUGUGGGGAGCAAACAGGAUUAGAAACCCUAGUAGUCC